rnacentral:rRNA from 1 species
UACGUAGGGUGCGAGCGUUAAUCGGAAUUACUGGGCGUAAAGCGUGCGCAGGCGGUUUUGUAAGCCAGAUGUGAAAGCCCCGGGCUCAACCUGGGAAUGGCAUUUGGGACUGCAAGGCUGGAGUUUGGCAGAGGAGACUGGAAUUCCCGGUGUAGCGGUGAAAUGCGCAGAUAUCGGGAAGAACACCCGUGGCGAAGGCGGCUCUCUGGGACGGUACUGACGCUGAGACGCGAAAGCGUGGGGAGCGAACAGG